CCUCGCUUGUUGUUUGGGGGCUUUGUUCAUCUGUAAAACACAAAGGCUCAUGCGAGUCUCUGUGUGUGCUUGAGUCAUUUUGGUGGCUCUUCUUUUGUGAGGAUUCAGCAUCCUCCCGGUGCAGCAGCAGCAGCAGCAGCCCUCCCCCUCUGCAGCCUCUCCAGCAGUAUGCCCGACGUUCAAACGGAAGCAGGCGCUACCAUUUUGAAACACAGCACCGCUUAGCAUGACCUAAAACAAGAGACGCUGGGUCCACUGGAAGCGAUUUGUUCCUCUCGUGUCACUUACUAACUGACGGCUCAUCACUUGCAAACGUUCCAGGAUCCGGUUGCCUAGCGCCAUGGACAAGAGCCACACAGUGAAGCUCUUCGUGGGUAACCUGGCAUUGGACACCACGCAGGAAGAGCUGUCGGCCAUCUUCGAACCCUACGGUCAGGUGGUCAGCUGCAGCGUGCUGCGGCAGUUCGCCUUUGUGCAUCUGCAGGGGGAGGGUGCUGCGGAGCGGGCCAUCCGGGAGCUCAAUGGACGGGAGUUUCGUGGUCGGAAUUUGGUGGUGGAGGAAUCGAGGGGGAGGCCGCUGCACUCCACCAAGGUGUUUGUGGGUAAUCUGAGCGGCAUGUGCACCACAGAAGACCUCCAGCAGCUGUUCCAGACGUUCGGGAAAGUCCUCGAAUGUGACAAAGUCAAAGGCUAUGCUUUUGUUCACAUGGAAAACAAGGAAGAUGCGCUACAGGCCAUCGAAGCCCUGCACGGCACCUCCUUCAAGGGCCGGCCCCUGUCCGUAGAGCUCUCCAAGGUCCAGCCCAGCAAGCAGGCGCCGACGGGGAAGAUCCCGUGUGUGAACUGUGGGAAGCAGGGCCACUAUGCUGGAGAAUGCCCUGUGGGGAAACCUUCUCUGGAGCAGUACCAGAGUCAGGCAGCGGUCUUGGCUGCUGCCGCCGCUGCGGCCGCCGGCCUACCGCUGCAGGUCCAGCAAAGCGUGCACAAUUCAGUCUACAACACCUCCACCUUUGAUCCCACUUAUGCUGCUCUCACAGGGAUUACCACCGGGACACGCACAGAUGGGAACCCGGUAAAUCCAGCUGUUUAUGGUGCCCUUGCCAGCCAGGUGUACGGUGCCAACGUUGCCAAUCAGCUUUACGGAACGGUGGCCAAUCAGGCCGCUCUCACGUCAGGGGCCACGCAGGUAUACAGCUCCAUGACACCUAAUAUUUACGGUCAGGUGGCUGCGUCCCCAGCAGCCGCCGCUGCUGCUGCCGCCGCUGCCGCUGCCUACACAACUCCGGUUUACACCCCGACAAUGGCCAACCACCCCGUCUAUCUGGCCGCGGCUCCUGGGAUAGAAAUGCCAACAGCGGCAGCUGCCGUCAAUUCUGCCUACUCUGUAGCGCCUGCGAUUUACAGCGCCGCCGCACCAGCCUACGCUCAGUUAAGCGCCAUGGGAGCAGCGGACCCGACUACAGCUAUCUUUGAGGCUGCCAGGCAGGCGCAUUACUUCGCCCAGGGCCAGCAGGUUGUGGCUGAGCAGCAGACGGCAGCUGCCGCCACAGCAGCAGCUGUGGCAAAGUCCGGAGAGAGGGAUCGCAGUCCACUGCGAAGGUCGGCACCUCUGCUUCCGGACCCUGUGAUGAAGCCAUUUAUGUACCAGAGGGCCAAGCCACGCCGACCCCUGCUCCCCACGCCAGCUGGUCGAGCAGCUGAAGAGGCAGUGGAAGCCGCAGAAGACCCCAUGGCCAGGUACUACGCGGAGUACUACCAGCAGCUCCAGCAGUACCCACAGUUCCAGUAUGCCUACGCAUCACCGAGCGCAGUGACCGCCAUCCCUGGCAUGCCGGGAAUGCAGGCCAUGCAAGCGGUCCAAGCAGUUCAGGCUGUCCCCGCGAUGCAAGCCCAGCCCGUCGCCACGCUGGACGCACUCAGGCCAGUGGUCCCCGCCGCUGCGGCAGUGGCAGCCGCCAUGGCUGCGCCCAGGGUGUAUGAGCCGCCGUUGCCGCCGCCCACGCGCAAGGAGGCCAUCCUCCGCCGCCCCGAACUCUCCCUUCACACGCCUGAGCCCCCCUUCCGAUAGUCGCACACAACUCUCUGCCCGCCCCUCCCUCUUUGCCCUGAACCCCUCCCACCCUUCACCCUCCCUCACCCGCCCCAAUCUCCUCUUCCAACCCCAAACUUGACCACCUUACAGCAGCUGUAUGUACGUGUGUGUGUGUGUGGGUGUGUGUGUGUCUGGGGGCUCUAAGUGUGUGGUAUUAAACUGGGGACUCCUUGGUUUAUUAACCUGCUUUAGGAGAAACUUGAUACGCCAGCCUUGGUUCAGUUUGCACGCGCACACAGUGCAGCCACCGAAAGGGAGGCUUUCAUCUGUCGCGCGGGCAUUCUUUGUGCUUCUCAGUUUUACUUUUUUAUCGUGCCAGUCUCACACGUGUGCCAGUAUUAGGCCGACCCGCUCGGCCGUUUCAUAUAUGCCUUUAUUUCCGCAAACCCAGUUAUGAUUUUCUAAGGCCGAGACCUUCGAUUGACGACAUCAGCCAUCCUCCUUAGGCCUAGAUGAUCAGUUAGGGCAGCUAAUUUGAAACCUUUUUUGCCUUAUGUUGAAGAGUUUCAAUUUGCAACGUAACCAGAUGGAAAGUCAGGGCGACGCUCUCGCGCGUGACGGCUGCGCUGCGUCGCGUCCGGCCGAACCAAGGUUGAGUCUUCUUUGUUUUUUGGUUUGUUUGGGGGGUUUUUUUUUCGAGGGACGUUUUGUCUUGAAUGUGACGUGGGCUGUGACGCGUGUGAGCGAGUGAGAGGUGAGGGCUUGCUGACCUUGCAGCGCACAAACGCAGCAGCAAAAAAAGAAAAUAAAACUUUGCCGAAAAGGAAAGGAGAGAAAAAAAAGAGUAAAGCACACAUAAACGUACUGUAAUGUAUGUUUGGAUCUCCCCUUUGACUCCCUUUUUUUUUUUCUGAACCCCCCCUCCUCCCUUCCCGCUCCACCCUUACUCUAACUGCAGCAAUGAAAGACACUGCUUCACCUCUCCCUCUCUCGCUCUUUGUAAUUACAGCUGCCUACCUCUUACAGCAAAUUUCAAUGUCUAUUCUUUUCUAUUGUGUUCUCUUAUAUUGUCGGCAGUUCCCGCUCCUUGUAAAGGGACAGGGUCAGCAGUUUAGAGGGGGAGGAGCCAGAUAUUACCGACAGUGACUUUUUUUUUGUAGAUGUUCCGUAUGGAGUCCAUCAUUUUCAGAGGCCUUUUUUAAAAAUAGUGUAAAUGUGUUUUCUGUUGUUUACCUGUGACGUAAGUCAGCCUGGGAUGUGAUGAACUGUAAACGGUGGUGAAAGGAGGGAGAAAAAAAUCAAUGUGUUACUACUGAGGGAGCAGUUUACAAAAGGAUCUUUUAAUCGCAUCCUGUUGGAAACCACGAUGGUAUGUGACAAGCUCAAUCAUGUGCCUAUAAAGCCUCGAGUGAAGUGCAUUAAGUGGAGGGACCUCCCAUUUUUAAGUGCUUUUGACAUUAUUUUUUAAUCAUUUCAAGGAGGGCGGGGGGAGCCCGACCUCCAGAGCUUUAGUAUCCAGAAGGCUUGGAGAGCGAGCGAAGCUUUCUCUGGGAUUUGUUUCACAGCUCUUAAAAGAAAAAGCCACAAACCGAGCCUUCACGGGUUCGUUACUUUACUAGCUGCUGGUUAAAGCAGAAACGACAGUGAUAGCACCAAUGAAGUGAGAGGUGGGGCAGCGUCGUCCACGUGCUUCUUUGACCCUCCGAAUACCAGACCAGCUUUAGAUUGCGAUUGCAAAAAAGGGAAACGAGCGAAAGUGUCUGUUUUAAUAUAUCUGUUAGAGCUUGUAGAACUGGACUUUCACGAGUGGCAAAUCCCACCCGCGUAGCUCUGCGUUUCAUUAAAACAGCCACUUUCAAAGUAUUUUGCAACUGCUAUGUGACGGCGGUCUGCUGCACACGCCCCUUUACUGCCCUCCCGUUCCCCCCCCUCCUCCCCUCCUCUCUCUCCCCCUGUGUUUUUUUUUCUUUCUUUCUUUCUUUUUGUUUUUUAGCGGUUGAGCGACUUCUUUGCAUCUCACGGUGUAAUCUCUCUCUGUGUCGUAUAUACAGAACACAUACCAGUUGCAUCCUUUGUAGAACUAUGUGGUUUGCGAAAUGUCUUGUUUGCCAUGUUUGAGAUCGUAUUUUUUAGAGAAGUAUUUUCAUUUUUUUUGCCUUCUUUUUAAGAAAAAUAUAAAAAGUCAAAAGUUUAAAAAAAAAAAUCAUUCAAAAAAAAAAAAUCAGCAUGCUUUUUAUUGAGAAUAUGUAUUACUAUAAACCUUAUUAUAAUAAAGAAUGUUUUGGCUGACACUAAUGUGGUAAAAGAAAGCAAAGGGUUUGGACAUUUCCCCUUCUUCUUCUUCUUCUUGUUUAUGUUGUUCUUCUCCCACUAUCUGUUUCUCUUGUGUAAAAUGACCACCAGACCCAUUUGACUGGGGACCCAAGGGGGAGACAGGUGUAGAUGCUGGCCCAGCUUUGCUCUCUUUGGUCGGGGUAAGUGCAGGUUGGUGCUCCUUUCCUCUCUCCAGCCUCUCAAACUCAGUGCAAACCAACUCAACCAAAGGGUUUUGGGGUUCAUUUGCAUUUGAGAACAUGCAUUUCAGCGAUUCGUUCUGGCUCUGUAACAUUAAAAGUUAAAAAAAGGAUUUUUCUUGUAGAAAUGAUGUUUUGGCACAGUGAGAGCUGGGGAGAGGCACACAGAUAGAAUGGCCUGGGUGCAUUUUGAUCUGUGGAGCAGUCCUGUUUCCUUGGGCGGGGGGGUUUGAUGGGUGUGUGUCUGGUCUGGUCUGGUAUCUCCCCUGCUGUACCAAAUUCUCCCUCUCCGUGUGUCUCUGUGUCCUCUCUGCUCUCAGACCUGCAUGUGUGAUAAUCUGUAACUCUGCCGCACAAACAAACAAACAAACAAGCCCCACGUCAGUCCAGCUCUUGACUAACUAUCUCAACUGAAAUAGGUCACCGUGCCGCCUGGAACGGCCGGGGUGCAGCCGUGCGUGAGCGUGGCGGCGUGAGCCAUGGGGACGACUUUUAGCGCGACGCCAACGCAGCGGGAACUCGUUCUCUCUCUCUCUUCACCACCAAGUGGCCUGGGCGUGCCAACGGACAGUGUAUGUGUGGUGGCCCGCCGCCGGACUCAGUAACACGACACAGAGAGACUUCAGUGUUGGACGAGCCGCUUUGCUGAAACUGUUGAAUGAUGGGUUUGCGCCACACAGCUGUGGAAGGAAUCGUAACUCCCAUAAGACCUUAGCGCCAUGACAAAACGAGAUAAACCAACAGGGGGUUUGCCUUGGGUCCCUCACAGCCUGUGUGCCAAUCAGAAACGUCCUAUAAGAUCGGCUAAUGAGGCCAGUCUGACCUGUAGAUUCUCACCAAUCUCGGGACUCCUGUAGGACUUUUCUGGUACGGCAGCUCUGUUUCUCUAAUCCUAGUGUCAGCUGGACCGGCUGGAUAUGUGCUAUGAGUGACUUGUAUGAGGUGUGGCUAUUAAAUAAUGAGACGUCACACCGGUUUGACUCACAGAAGCUCUGUUUUGUUGUUUAACAGCCACGCCUCGUCUACAUUCUUACCUGUUAAGACUAUUGAUGCACACACACAGUCCCGCACACACUCGCUGUAUGUCAGAUGAGUUUGUCUCACAUUUGCUCCGACCGCUGCGAGACGGAGUCGAGACAAGCGUGGCGCUGCCUUUCUGUCUGCCUAACAAACUAAAAGGAGGUGGGGAGGAUUGAGUAGAUGACUUACUGAUAAGGUGAGUUGGUAGUGGAAGGAUCCUUUGGCCCAAAGCUACUUUCUAACCUCACCUUUCUGAUCUUGGAGCAUCCCAUAAUAGAGUCACUGGCCAGAACCUUAUCAAAAGAGAACGUUGUCGCACACAGUGUCUGUGCUAAUAAUAACGAGCCCUAGAAUCUGAUGUCUCUGUUGCUUGGAUACAAAGUGCAAAAAAAAACUGAUUUUUUUUUUUGCAUUCACAGACACAUUAAGUUUUUUUAAAAAACACAAAUGAUGAGUUCAUCAUGUGUGGAUGCAUUUAGAGGCACAUAGAGGCCAGGUUUAUUUCUCUCCAAAGGACCGCUGUGUAGGAUUUAGUGGCGUUCGAGGACUGGACGUGUAGUGCAGGAUCCAUAGUCCUACAUUAGUGCACAUUUGCCUAGAAGGAAGGAUUGUGGGUAUUUGACAGAUGCAGAGGCCAUGUGUAGAUGUGGUGAAAGACCAAAAAGCACAUAUCCUGAUAUCCUGAAUGCUGAUUGGCCGAAAAGCUGGCUCGAACAGGAAAGGGAGCAAUAGUGCAGUUCACCACAAAGAGGAACAACUGUGUCCGUUUUCAUUGCUUUCAGUCACCCGGUUUCACUUUACUACAAAGGACCAACGAAAGCACAAAAACGCGGGUAGCCUGUGUCACUAAAUGCUGCGCACAUUUACAACCAGGCCGCCAUGGCAACAGCACGCAACCACAGCGUGAAGUUGUGAGUCUGCAGACCUCAGCGUAGCACAGAUUAGAGAAAACCUGAAGGGCUCUUUACACUAAUGAAAACAAACACAACUAUGAGUACUGCAUGUAAUACUGUAUGUAAUAUAGUCACAGGCGAUUGCCCCCUCCCUGAGCAUGGUCCGUCUGGAGGUUUCUUCCUGUUAAAAGGGAGUUUUUCCUUCCCACUGUCGCCAAAGUGCUUGCUCAAAGAGGGUCGUCUGAUCGUUGGGGUCCUCUCUGUUAAUGUAGGGUGUUACCUUCCAAUCUAAAGCACCUUGAGGCGACUGCUGUUGUGAUUUGGCGCUAUAUCGAUACAAUUGAACUGAGUACUGUAUUCUGUUUCCACGAGUAAAUCCUACACACUGGUCCUUUAAGCAGUGCAGCUGAUGAAACCCCUCCUCAGCCUCCAUGAUCAGGGCACACCGUGCUCCAGUUUUUUUUCCCCCUCCAGCCACCUCACCCCUCCCCUCCAACUCUGCCGGCUCCUCACUAAAAAGGCUUCUUCUGGUGCUUGUGAGUCUAGGCUUCCUGUGCUUGGGUGAAUGCAGCCACGCAUCUCUUAAACACCCCCGACCGCCCCGCGCACCCUCUUGCUCUGAAUUCACAGACAGACGGAGCUGCAGCCUCCUCUCGACUUCCACUUCCUCACCCAAACUCCCCCUGCCUUCUGUGGUUUGGACAGCUGAAGAACUGAGAUACUCUGCACACACACACACACACACACACAUUUAUAUAGAUAUAUAUUUGUGUAUUGUGUUGUUUUUUUGAUGGGAUCCCACAGGGUACAGCAGACACCGGCAGAGAUGUACAUCGGGAACAGAACCCACUCCGGCUUAGGUUUGAGCCCAGCCCUCACACUGUAGACCGUGAUGCCUUUUUUAGUUGAAGCAGGUUUCAUUAACGAGACUUUUCUAGGUCAUCUAGCACAGAUGUGAAUCACAGAAUCACACUUCUAAUGAUGCUUAUCCUCUCUUCAGAUAAAAGCGUCAGGAGUGUCUUAUCUCACACGUUACCUCGUAUAGAGGGGGGCAGACAGCAUGUGAACGCCAGCAGGAUGCAGUGCAGCUCAAUACAAAAAUCACUGCAUUUAUUGAUCAUUUAUAAGGUUUUUUCCCCUCAUAACUGCAGUAAUAGUGUGUUGGCUGGCAUUAGAGUGAAAGGCGUUCAUGUUAUUUUGUCCACCCUUCUGCCCUUAUAUGAUUACAGGCCACCUGAGGCCAAGCCCAUCUUUUUUUUCUCCCUCUCCACGGACCAUUUCAUUGUCAGCAGUCCCACGGUGGCAUUACCGUAUGUUUAGCCAUUUCAGUUCCCUCGUCUCAGCAGCUGCUCAGUCACAAACCUAAUUGUAACCACAAAUAGUCGCGCAGUAGCUAAGCUUCUUCAAGUAGGUUAAUGGACCAAGCUUAGUGUAGUUAAACGAAACGCCUCAGUUAAUUACAAUAUUAAUCGUUCUAGUUUCCAAAGACGUCAGGGGUGACAGAAUAGUGUGUCAUCUCAAGAGGAGAGCAAUCGGGAUCUGCUCCUCUUUCAAAGAAAUCGAAUCCAGCACAACGCUGAACGAUGAGGGGAUUUUCACACCGUGAAUGUCGGAUCAAACAUUUGCGUCAACAUGUUUACUGUGAAUGACAAAUCCUGAUAUGAAGACAAUUAUACUGUAUGGUUGUGUGUGCAUAUAUUUAUGCCUUUUGGUCUGUAUUUCUUAAGAUGUUGAGGUAUUUUUUUUCAGUCUGCAUGAACAAAAAUCAUGAAUAAAUCUUUUUGUU